AGUGAACGCUGGCGGUAGGCCUAACACAUGCAAGUCGAACGGCAGCACAGUAAGAGCUUGCUCUUACGGGUGGCGAGUGGCGGACGGGUGAGGAAUACAUCGGAAUCUACUUUUUCGUGGGGGAUAACGUAGGGAAACUUACGCUAAUACCGCAUACGACCUACGGGUGAAAGCAGGGGAUCUUCGGACCUUGCGCGAUUGAAUGAGCCGAUGUCGGAUUAGCUAGUUGGCGGGGUAAAGGCCCACCAAGGCGACGAUCCGUAGCUGGUCUGAGAGGAUGAUCAGCCACACUGGAACUGAGACACGGUCCAGACUCCUACGGGAGGCAGCAGUGGGGAAUAUGGGACAAUGGGCGCAAGCCUGAUCCAGCCAUACCGCGUGGGUGAAGAAGGCCUUCGGGUUGUAAAGCCCUUUUGUUGGGAAAGAAAAGCAGCAGGUUAAUACCCCGCUGUUCUGACGGUACCCAAAGAAUAAGCACCGGCUAACCUCGU
rnacentral:rRNA from 1 species